CCUACGGGAGGCAGCAGUGAGGAAUAUUGGUCAAUGGACGAGAGUCUGAACCAGCCAAGUAGCGUGAAGGAUGACUGCCCUAUGGGUUGUAAACUUCUUUUAUAAAGGAAUAAAACGAGGCACGUGUGCCUUUUUGCAUGUACUUUAUGAAUAAGGAUCGGCUAACUCCGUGCCAGCAGCCGCGGUAAUACGGAGGAUCCGAGCGUUAUCCGGAUUUAUUGGGUUUAAAGGGAGCGUAGAUGGGUUGUUAAGUCAGUUGUGAAAGUUUGCGGCUCAACCGUAAAAUUGCAAUUGAUACUGGCAGUCGUGAGUACAGUUGAGGUAGGCGGAAUUCGUGGUGUAGCGGUGAAAUGCUUAGAUAUCACGAAGAACCCCGAUUGCGAAGGCAGCUUACUAAACUGUGACUGACAUUGAUGCUCGAAAGUGUGGGUAUCAAACAGGAUUAGAAACCCCUGUAGUC
rnacentral:rRNA from 1 species